ensembl:lncRNA
UGUCACACAAUUCAUGCAUCCAGUACAGGGUAAAGAAUCAGUUUUACACAAAUUGGUGCUGUUCCAGUGAAAGUUUCUACCAGUCAAUCAGGGCAAUCCCUGUACCCAACAGAAACUGUCCUGCUGCUUGGCUUUGAAGAGAUUUAUGGAGGAAUGGUACCCUUCUCACCUUCAGAGGAAGGAGAAAUGUGCUGAGCCUGGGGAGAGGUCACUGGUGGUAUGAGGAGGAGUGAUCCCUUUUCGCUGAGAGGACUAUGGCCACUGGAAUCUCAGUGCUGUGUUGUGCUGAAGUCAUUUCAAAGGCAUUCCCAUGCUGUCAUUGCUGUGGCCAGCCUCAAGUCAUUUGCAUUCUUCAGAGAGAGAUUUAUGACUGCAAGACAGUUAAAUUUCCUCACUACUAAAUGAGUGGCAAAGGGUGGCAAAGAAAGCAGAACAGAUGCCUUUGGCCAGAGAAAAAAAUAUUUUGAAAAACAAAGAUCUUCUACGUGACUAUCCCUUGUCCUAACCAGCAGAGCAACCGAUUUGUCUAAGCAGUACAAACCUCACUGCUUGCAUUUAGUGCUAGAAGCCCUGACACCUCAUUACGCACUGAGGAAAUCUGUUCUCGUUAAUACAACUUCCCAAACUCUGGGUGGACUUUCCUCUUCAAGCUUUUUCUGCUUCAGACUUUGAUUACUCUGUGACAUGAGCAAGCAUUCCAAUUUUACUACAGCUGAGAGACAAGAUGGAAUGGCUUCCUCUCCUCCAGUCCGGGCAGUGAUGGAGGGACUGAUUUCUGUCUGCAUGAGGGAAGCAGUAACUUCCCAAAUAUUGAGACAUUUUUAAUGUUCACAACAAACAAAUGGUGUACUCUAAACAGCCUUUUCAAAUGAUGCCCCAAUGGAUUAUCUGAGCAAUUUCCCACUGAAGGCAGUGAGUAACCACUGAGUGAGGAUGGAACAGAAGGGGACUCCUCUUUGGAAAGAUAGGAUUUGCUGAAGCUCUGGUUUUUGACCAGCUCUCAGAACCACUCUCAGGAGUCAUCCACGUGCUCGGUGGUUGCUGCUCUCUUCAGAGAUUAUAAUCUCCUUCAAGCAGAGACUCAUCUUCUUGCACAACUCUGAAUGCCACUGAAGUCAGAAACUGCACAGCCAUCAACACCGAGAUAAUGCAGAAGCAGGGCUGAACAGAGGACAAUAACGUUUUCUGUGUCACAUUAGCAUCUCAGUGAUAUCUUAAAUGGGAAUGAAAAUCAUGAUAAGCAGUGUGGACACCAUUCAUUCCAAAAGCCAGUAUUUAAAACCCUGAUGUAUUUUGCAAUUCUAUAUCUGAAAGAACAGCUAGGAGUGCCAUGAUCUGCCCCUUUGACAGCCAUGGGAGGUAGAUAUAGAGAAGACAGCCUCAGGCAUGGAUCUGCAGUCACUGCCAGGUACAAAAUUCUCCAAUUUGCAAUGCCACGUGAAAGAUCUCCUGCUGUUUGAGUGCACGUAUGGCCAGCCCAUCUACGAGCAGAUUAAGUAACCCUUCUUUGAUGGACAAUUUUGUUCAACUUUCUUCAUCACAGGCUAAAGUACAUGAGAAGGUAUUAUCAACAUCUGAAAAUAAACUUGCUAUAAUGAGAUUAAUAUGGUUGGUUGAUUACAUUCAGUCAUCAUUUUCUAACCCUGAUUUUAAUUUCGCUCCACAUUUUAAGUUCGUGCUAUAUAAACUCAUAUUUACUUUCU